rnacentral:rRNA from 1 species
GGUAAACGGGUGGAGCCCUAAAGGUCGAAAGGAGAGAUUCAGUAGUCCAGUCCGACUUCGGCUCUGCGUCGUUGGGUAAACUCCGGGUGUCUGCUCUCGGGCAGGUGCUCGGGGCCUGCGGCGUGGCUACGCGCGAGGUAGGUGGAGCGCACUUCUCUCCGAGUAGGACGCCGCGACCCGUUGGACGCCGGCCUAAGGCCUGGGUGCGAGACCGUGUCGCUGUUCGCAGCGGGGCGGAGCCCCGGUGUCCCGGCCGAGUGUCAGACGGUAGAAACGUGGACAGGCCCGCGUGCUUAUAGCUCGCGCGCGUGCCCCGUGCAAGCGUCCGGUGGGACCCUAUCGUGCGGAUUUAUGCCGUCGAAGACCUACCGGCGUUGUUGGUGCGGGGGUUUCUCGCGCAGCCGGCCUGAUCUCGUUGCGGCGCUCAAAGCAGGGUGGCCCACCCGGCCCGUCUUGAAACACGGACCAAGGAGUCUAACAUGUGCGCAAGUCACUGGGUUCAGCGAAACCCAAGGGCGAAUUGAACGAGAAAGUCGGCCUUGCGUCGGCUUAGGGAAGAUGGAUACCCUUCGGGGUCUCCCGCAUUCCCGGGGCGUCUCGUCCUACUUCCGCUUGUCGUCAA